rnacentral:lncRNA from 1 species
UUCCUUGUUUUGAUUUUCCUUUUUGUUGGAAAUGUGCCCUAAAGCCAAUCAUAUGAUGAUACUUUACGGACAUUUCACAUGUUAAACUAAUCUAGUUUAAAUAUAAAGGGUAAAUAUUAUUGUUUAAGCCGUCUCAUAUAAAUGUUAUAUGCUUAAACGAUAAGUCCAAGGAAUAUGUGAUUGGGAGAAUACGAUCUAAAGAAGUUAGAUUCAUGAGACCAUUCUUUUGUAGACACAUCCUAAACGUUCCUGAUCUGAUCAUAGGAUUUGCCAAUUGGGCAUUGACAGUCCGUUAAGAUCAGUACGUGCUGUGUCUUCUCUCAGGGAGAGUGACUAGUCUCGAGUCAUUGGUGUGUGUGACAUCAAGACAAGUACGUAGGUGCUCAAUAGAGAAUGAGUUCACUGAACACGAUCGACGAAGAGUUCUCAUAUUCAUGUCACAUGAGAACUCAUGGUUGGGAUAAUGCAAAGUAGUCCUUUGACCUGAGGCAUCAGGUUUGUCUUGUGGUUAAGUACUUGAUCUUUGAUUAUGUCAAAGUCACUCCAUCAUGAGGGUGUCCACGGCAUCGUUGGGGUUAAACCACUUAGCUAUGGAGGCAAGUGAAUGCGCAACAAGGGAUCUCUAACCUUCAAACCGUUUGGGGGAGAAUACUCUAUGAUAUGAUUAAGAAUCUCUGGCCAGAGUAUGAAUGAGAUUUAGAAAAGUCGUUCUAAAUCACAUUCAAGGUAAUCAUAUAAGCACACGAAUCACAUUGGAUAGUAGACAUGACUAAACUAUCAAACCAAACAAUGUGAUCAAGAGUUGUAUUAGAGAAAGACCGUAUUGCAUUUGUAAUCCUAAACUGAAUAGGUUCUCUACCUCUUCUGAUUAGCUUGGGUAACCAUGAUAUGCUGCUAGGUGUCACUCUUGGUUUGUGGAAGCCCUAAACGUGUAUAAACACUAAAGGGAGAAUUGAAAGUAAGUUUCAAUUCACAAUCGAUUUUAAAGAGUUUUAAUCGCCCACUGCCUCGCUAAAAGGAACCUAAUGGAUUGUACACCGUGUAAGGUGGAGAUUGAAGAAACACUGGAGAUGAGUAAGAAUAAUUAAAUGGUUUAAUUAUUUAUGGCAAGGAUUAAUUAUGUUAAUUAAUUAAACGAAUAAGUUCGUUAAAGACCUCGGGAUAGUUUUGGACGUUUAGGCCCAAUGGGCUUCGAACGUCAAGCCCAUUGACUUAAGUUGUAUGACAACUUAAUUCGCAAAGGCCCAAAAAAAACCCUAUGGCCGGCCAUUUAGAGGAGGGUAGUGAACUUGCUUUAAUUACAAGUUUGCCACUCCAAUGAAUAAAGGUAUAAAUAUGACUUUAUAGCCAAAAUUCAUUUAGGGUUUUUCUUUUAGGAAAUUGGAGAGAACACAAUGCUCUCCUUUCUCUCUAAAGAGGCCGGCCCCCUUGGAGGGUGUAUCUAGCAAUCCCACUACUCCAAGGUCACUCAUUUCUUCAUCAAUCUUACCUUGGUGUGGAUACUUAGAGGUUCUCAAUUUUGGGAACUUGGAGAACCAUAUUCUUCCAUCCAAAUCCAUGGAUCUAAGAAGCAAGGAAUGAAGGCCCUCUCUUUGGGUGAUUAGCCUUUGUUUAUGCAAAGAGGAAUCUACAAAGGUAUAAAUUUCAACUCAUUUUGUUUUGAGUUGAGUCUUGGUUCACCAAUCUACUAGGCUUUGAAUUUCAUGGGUAAUGUUUUGUUUUUGAAUGCAUGCAAGCAUGAUUCCGCCUUUUAAUUGUUAAAUGCAUGCUAUAGAUGUUAUUCAAAUGAACAUGUUUUCACAAAAUCAUACUUCAAGUGGUAUCAGAGCCUAGGUCUAGUAGUUGGUGAAUCCUUUUGGGUUUUGUAGUUCAUAGUUUGUGAUUUAAAAGUUGUAAUUGUUACAAGCUUUAUUCUUGCUUCUUUGAAUGUAAAUUUUGCUAGAAAAUUUGCCAUCUCAAAUGUUGUAGAUGUAGUUAUUCUGAGCAUGAAUAUUGGAGCUAAAAUUUGGUGCCAUGUUUUUGGGAAUUUUCGGCCAAAUCCAAAGGGUGGAUUUUUGGGUUCUUGUUUGACUUGUUAAAAGUGUUUUCAAGUAACUUUUGGAACCCCUAUGUACCCUCGUUUGGUUAUAUGUUAUUUCCCUAAAGUUUGAAUGGUUUUGGAAUGUUUUUGGGUGAAAAAUGUUCAUGGAAAUUUUUGAGUUUUUUCAUGAAUGUUCUUCAUUGUUCUUGACAUUUUUGCCAAGAACAAAAAGUUUUGUGUUUUGAUUCAAAGUUUUGAUUUAUUUCAUAAAGUUUAUGUUUUAUGUUUUUCAAAUGAUUUAAUGUGUUAGAUAUUUGUUUAAAUGGUGUAAGAAAUAAUGGUGGGUGUGAAAGGAUUAAUUCUCUUUCACACACACCACUUGCACCACUUGCAUGCUUUAUGUCAAAACUCACAAAUCAACACACACAUCACUCACACUCCUCUCCAAAACCGGCCACCCUACAUUAUAGGGUACUUUUGGGGCUUUUAUGCAAUUACAUAAAGUUUUGAUACUUUUGUGUAUUUGCACUUUGGCCCAAAAGUUUACGUUUUUACGUUUAGGUCCAAAAACGCUAAGGACAAAUUGUUUUGCUCCUUUAAUGAAGUUUUUGCAUUAUUAAAAUUUUGGGUUCUAGUUGUAAUUACAUGAAGUAGUGGACUUUUGUGUUUUUACAAAGUGACCCCAAAAGUUUUGCAAUAUAGCCCAAAAGUUGAGGUUAAUUGCUUUAUAGCCCAAAGGUUGUGGUAAUUGCAUAUUGGCCCAAAUUAGGUAGAGAACAAAAUUGUUUUGUCUCUUUAAAUGAGAAUUGGAUUUUCAUUUUGUUUAGCUCCAUUUAAAUCAAUUUUAUGGAUACAAAAACCAAAUGAAAAUGUUGCAUUCUAUUUAAUUAGUUAAAGUGUUAAUUAAUUAAAGGGUGAUUAUGAACCUAAGCCUACGAUAAUUGAGCUAUGUGAUAGGCCGUUUCAAAUUUGUUUGAACCAUGGGAAUGUGUAGAUUAGAUUUUGGUUGUAAUUUGAUUUGAUCAAAUGUUGUAAAAGAGCAUAAGCUCUUCUUUACUUUAAAGUAAUUUGAUUUAUGCAAAUGUUGUAAUGAGCAUAAGCUCACCUUUACUUUGAAGUACUUCUUUCUUGCUUUAUUUGAUAUGCAUGUGAAUGAAGUAGUUGGGUCCAACGCCCCUAAGACAACACGCCUUAAUGUGAUUAUACGCGUAACUAAAAUCAAUCACCAUCCCUAGACCGAGAUUCAACACAAGGCUCGUGUUGAAUCUAAACAAAGGUUCAUAGUCAUCCUAAGGCCCUAAGGCAACUAUAUAGUCCAUCAAUGAAUGCAAACCUUAUGUUAGUAGUAUCACAUACUCUUGCUUUAAAAACCGUUUUAUAAGCAUAGUGGGAGUAUUAUAUACAACUAAACAAUCAAAUGGACCAAUAGUUGUAAUAGGACCAAAAUUGUUUUAAUAAAGAUUAAAAUGAAUAUUUAUAUGUGAUGAGACCUAAAACCCUCAACCAAACCAUUAUUAAGUUGAUAAGCGUGAGAGUGCUUUGAACACUCUUUCGUGGCCUUCCACCGUGGUAGGCUCUAAUUGUUUAUGACUUGUACACCGCCUUCACCCUAUCAUGGGGGAGUGCAAAGUGCAUGCUUAUACUCAGGAGGAGUCUAUAUACAUACUUGAUGAGGUGAGUGUAGGCAACGAGGAUGGCCGACAUCGUAUCAUCGUGAGGCUAUUCUUGAACCCCUUCACGAACUAAACAUGGUGGGAAUGACUUAACUAAGUGCAAUGGAGCCAACAUCAUAUCAUUGUGAGGUGACAUUCUCUAGAGGCCAAAUAAGAUAGGUACUUGCAAGAGAUGCAAAUGAGUAAGCGUACUCUCUCAUUAUUAUUAAUGCUAGCCAACAUCAUAUCAUUGUGAGGUGGGCUUGGUAGUAGUGAGUCUCCCAUACCCUACUAAGAGUUUCAUCCAAAACUCUCGAAUUCCAAUGAGGGAUAUGGAAUUUGCCAAAAAUAGUGGGUGGUGCUAUUUGAUUUAAAGACCCGAAUCAAAUGGCUUAAAAUCAAUCAAUUUAUAUUCGUUAUGUAUUUGUUUACCAAUAUAUUUGCAAACGCUAUCCCACACUUGACAAAUAAAAACCGAAAGCUUUAGUUUCCGGACUUGGUACUACAAAACCAUAGAUUGUCUUUAAUGGCUUGUAAAUGUACCUAAGUAGUCUCAUCCUCACAAUCUUCCUAUUGAUAAUGUAUCAUUAGAAGAAUAUGUUAGAAAAGGUCUAUCAUAAAGAGGACAACACUUUUAAUGUCAUAAUUCUUCAAUUACAAUUUGUUGUAUGAAGAAAUAGGAGUUGCUUUGAACAACUCUUAGUCAAUGCAAACACUUAGUGCUUGUUUCUUUGUUACAUGAACAAGGAACUUGAGAAGAAAACGCAAAGGCAUGGACACUUAAUGUGCCAUGAUUCUUCACUUACAAUUUGUUGUAUGAAGAAAUAAGAGUUGCCUUGUACAACUCUUGAAAGUUUGUAAUUAUGUUUAGAACAUAAUGGUUGGUUGACAAAAAUAGUCCAUCAACAUGGACUUAUGAUGAUUUUGAAUCAUUGAGUGUUGAAGUGAUAAACCACUUAACGAGACGGAAACUAAGGCAAGGACUUCACCUUUGUGUCCCUAUCCUAAUGGUUCACUAAGUUUAUUGUAAACUAUAUAGUGAACAAUAAACACGUACUCUCCAAAAUCGUUUGAUGUGUAUAACACAAUUGAAAUAAGUUUCAAGAGAGAUAGUGGGAGUUUAGGGACCAUGACUAUUGUAGUCAAAGGAGAAGUCAAAUGAAGAAGAUAAAAAUAACUCCAAGGGAACAAACUUUCUUUAUGAAAGGAUGGACAUUGGAAGGGGUAUUUGCAAGAAAUGUCUUGCAAGUGUCAAGAACACAUCUUUCGAAGGUGUUGUAAAUUGUUCUUGAAUAGUUCAAAACAGUUGGUUCUUCUACUUGAAUGCUUGAUUCCGUAUUAGUAACUAUGUUUUACAAUCGUUGUAAAAGUGUGACUAAUAAGAAGUAGAAGAUAUAUGAGAGAAGAAAAGGUACUUCACAUUCGGAACGUGAAUAAAAUAUAGAUCUCUGCGAAAGCAGAUAAUACUUACUUCCUCAUAUGAACUACCAAAGAAAUUGGAAAAAUCAAAGAUUGUCUUUACAUUCCAAUUUUAAGGAACUUAAUUCCGUCACUAUAGUAGAGAUGGAUGAAUGUUUUGUUUGACAAAACAUUGUUCUUUAUUAAUCAAUGAUUGGAUUAUAUAGUAAUCUAAUUGAUUGUCUCUAUAGUAGAGAUGAUAUGGUAGUGUUAACUGUUUAGAAUAUAAUGAUGCUUAAAACCCAAAAGGUUGCAAAGUAGUGACUAAUCCCAACUAAAGUUGUGAUACCUCUAAAACAUAAAUUACGAGUUGGUCAUAGAUGGAUGCUUUGGAUCGUUAGAUCCGGAUCCAAUACCUUCUUGUUAAAAUUGUAUAGAGGCGAAAUGUUCGAAUCUUUAUUCUUUUGGAAAGAAGAAAGAAUCACAAAGUUGUUGAGGUUAAUUCACUUAGAUGUUAGUGGCACUUGUCCACAAACAUAAUACUACUCAUGUUGUAUGACAUUCACCGAAGAUCACUCUCGGUUGGACUAUAGUUUAUUUUGAAUAAACACAAGUCUGAAUACUUUGCAAAAGUUUUUCAAAGAAUUCAAGAAAUGUAAGUUGAUGAGUAAGACGUCUAAAGUAUUUACCUCCUUAGAUUUGAUCCAAGGAAAAGGUAACACUUUAGAUGAGUUUCCUUGAAAGAUAUCAAGGAAAGAAGCAUCAUAAGAUAAUAAAUUUCUCUCCAUUAAGGAGAAGAACGAACUCGAAUAAGAUUUAGUUCGUUAGAUGUUAUCUAUUACCCAUAUAUAGGAUAUAUACUUCUAAAACAAUAUGAUUGUCAAUUAGAAGAUCUUCCAAAAUUUUCAUGACUCCAUAAGAUGUAGUUGGAAAGAAAGACAAAUCUUAAGCAUGUUAAGAAUUUGGGGUUGUGUGCUAAUAAGCAAUAUUUGUUUGAUAACAAUCUUGUGGGAUAUCCUUAAAUUAACUUUUGGAUAUCGCUUCUAUAAACCAACUAACAAAUGUUGUUUUGUUGGGUAGUUCAUUGUAAUCCUACAAUGUGAUUUGCCUAAAAGCAAAUGAACGAGAGAUAGAACUCAAAGAAUGGGUUCUUUGAGAGACAAGAAAGUAAUCAACAAAUAUAACAACCUAGUUCCUAUACCAAAGCUCCAAGGUAGUCGAGAAGGAUUUAUAAACCGUCUCAGUUGAAUGGUUUGAACUUUAUGACUAUGUCAUAGAGAGUUGCACCUCUUAAUUCGAAAGAAAUAAGAAUGAAAAUCCUUAUGACUACAUUGAGUGUAUAUAUAUGAUAUAUACUCAAGGAAAUGGUAAAGUACCAUUUGACCCGAAAUAAUGAAACCUUCAUAAGCUAAUUGGUAGCUUAAGGUAACUACAAUCAAAAGGAUGGUUGACUUUGAAGAAACCAUUUUUGACGUAGUCUUGGUUUCAAUUAAUUCGAAGAUAGCUAGCUACAACUAAAUGGUGAUUCAAUGUUUGGACAUUAUAUGGGUUUCCGAAACCAUUAUUAAGAUAGUCUUGAUAAUAUAUAUGUCUAAAACUAUGAAUCACAAGACAUGUAAGUUGUAGAGAUCCAUCCAUCAUGAAUCUUAGCAAGCUAGUGGGAGCUAUAAGCAUCUUAUGAGAAAAGGAUCAAAUCGUUUGAUUUCUCAUAAAGAUGUAAAUGAAUCUUUUGUUUACUAGGUUUACAAAAGAUUAGUGGGAGUUAAUCAUGUUCCUAAAAUUUAAAUAUAUAUAUGAUAUAUUAAUUUUUGGAAAUGAAAAGAAUACUUCUUCGUUAAAGUUAUGACUUUAAACAUUAUAUGAAGAUAGAAUGUAUAUGGGAGAUAUAGUCUAUAUACAUGGGAUGGAAAUCUAUAAUGAUAUAUUUCAUGAUAUAAUUGGAUUAUAUCAAUCCCUAAUAAUAGACAAUGGAUGCUAGGAAGUUUCUCAUAUGAUGAUAAACUUCAAUUAGAAGGACAACUCUAGUGAGACUAAGCAAGUUGCUUUUCUCAAAGAGGAACGUACCCUUUGACUCCCAAAGAAAUAAUGCGUAAAUAGAAUCCUUUAUGCAUACGCAUAAAGGUGAUUUAUGUAUUUCAUAUUGUAUGAAAAACAUUGAUAUGAGUUGUACCUAGAACGGUACAAGACGAUAUCAGUGCAAGCCCAGGAUCAGAACCAUGGCAACUGUCAAGUGAGUCCUUAAGUAUUUAAGAAAUACUAAAGGAUAGAUUCCUCAAAGAAUGAGGAAGAAUUAGAGUAACGUAAAGGAAGCGUAAAUGUAUUAGAUUAUGAAUCUAAUCCAUCAUUGGAUGUUUCUUCAUUAUGAAUGAAGAGAGAUAAUCAGAUAUCUCUUUAUUAUGACUAAAGAGAUAUUUGGAUGGAAACAUUAAAAGUAAUGACUUUAGUGUUUUCCAUUAUGAAUGCAAAAUAUAUUGCCAUAUAGAAGCUUACAACAAUGUUGUUUGGAUGGGAAAGUUCAUUUAUGAACUCUCUAUUCGGUUCCAAACCAGAAAGUGUAUCUAGUGUACUGACACUAUGACACUAAUGGGGCGAUAGCUCAAGCCAGGGAAUCAAGGUCUCAUCAAGAUCCGAACUCAAUAUGAGAGACUGAACCAACAUGAUUGAGAAUCAUGUAUAAUGGUGACGUCGUUAUUCUCAAGGUUGUUUCUAUGGAUAACAUAUAGAUAUCCAUUGUCUAGGCCUACUAUUCAGCCAUUUAUGAAAUGACUACAGAAGAGGUAUCAUCACUGAUGAUCAAGCUGAUUGGCUCUAGUGCAAGUGGGAGAUUGUUGGAAAUGUGCCCUAAAGCCAAUCAUAUGAUGAUACUUUACGGACAUUUCACAUGUUAAACUAAUCUAGUUUAAAUAUAAAAGAGGCAAAUAUUAUUGUUUAAGCCGUCUCAUAUAAAUGUUAUAUGCUUAAACGAUAAGUCCAAGGAAUAUGUGAUUGGGAGAAUACGAUCUAAAGAAGUUAGAUUCAUAAGACCAUUCUUUCGUAGACACAUCCUAAACGUUCCUGAUCAUAGGAUUGCCAAUUGGGCAUUGACAGUCCGUUAAAAUCAGUACGUGCUGUGUCUUCUCUCAGGGAGAGUGACUAGUCUCGAGUCAUUGGUGUGUGUGACAUCAAGACAAGUACGUAGGUGCUCAAUAGAGAAUGAGUUCACUGAACACGAUCAACGAAGAGUUCUCAUAUUCAUGUCACAUGAGAACUCAUGGUUGGGAUAAUGUAAAGUAGUCCUUUGACCUGAGGCAUCACGUUUGUCUUGUGGUUAAGUACUUGAUCUUUGAUUAUGUCAAAGUCACUCCAUCAGGAGGGUGUCCACGGCAUCGUUGGGGUUAAGCCACUUAGCUAUGGAGGCAAAUGAAUGCGCAACAAGGGAUCUCUAACCUUCAAACCGUUUGGG